UGGGGAAUUUUGGACAAUGGGGGAAACCCUGAUCCAGCCAUUCCGCGUGAGUGAAGAAGGCCUUCGGGUUGUAAAGCUCUUUCGGCAGGAACGAAACGGUUUUGGGCUAAUACCCCAGACUACUGACGGUACCUGAAGAAGAAGCACCGGCUAACUACGUGCCAGCAGCCGCGGUAAUACGUAGGGUGCGAGCGUUAAUCGAAUUUACUGGGCGUAAAGCAUGCGCAGGCGGCGGUUCAAGUCAGGUGUGAAAUCCCCGAGCUUAACUUGGGAAUUGCGCUUGAAACUAGAUCGCUAGAGUACGGCAGAGGGGGGUAGAAUUCCACGUGUAGCAGUGAAAUGCGUAGAGAUGUGGAGGAACACCGAUGGCGAAGGCAGCCCCCUGGGCCUGUACUGACGCUCAUGCAUGAAAGCGUGGGGAGCAAACAGGAUUAGAUACCCACGUAGUCCCUGAGCGGGCUGGCAAGGCGCAU
rnacentral:rRNA from 1 species